AUAAAUAAAUUAUUAAGAGCACUUGAUGGAUGCCUUGGCGUUAAGAGGCGAUGA
rnacentral:rRNA from 1 species